CAUUUAAAGUCUGUCCCUGGGAUGAGAAACCAUGCCCUGGAUUUCUUCAAGAGCCAUGAAAGAGACAAGAAAAAUAGGAUAACAAUCCAGCAAAGAAGAGUAAAAAUAAAAGCCUGCUGCCUAAAUCCAAGAAGUCAAAGGGGGUUUCAAAGUCUUGUUCUCAUUUACUGUCAAAAGAAAGUCACACUCAAUAAGAAAAGUCCUUGUCAGAAGGCAUGGAAUCUGAAUUGAGUGACUUGUCCAUGGUUAUACAACCAAUAACGGCCAGAGGAUAACAAAGAUGUAAAAGAGAAAAAAAUACUUUAUCUUCAAGUAUUGAGUAACGUUAUAUCUGGAUAAUGUAGUCCUUAUAGCAUUAUUUGGUUUCAAACACAGUUGACCAAUGACUUCCACAAUCAUCAUUUUAUGGUGAAGACCUCCAAGGGACUGAUGUAAAGUCAUACAUGUCAUAUGUAGAUCUAUGUCAUAAAUUUGCAGUUAGGAAGUAGUGAUUGGAGAUAAAAACCAUGUUGAAACUGGAAAGGGUCAUUCAUAUAUAAAUGUAAAUUAAUUAUCUCAAAUAGCCUUUCCUACUGAAAUGCAGCCUUACAUAAAUCCCAAUAUAUUAGUGAAAUGUAUAACCUAUUUUUUCUUUACAUAACCACCUCCUCUAUAUUUAAGAACAUUUCUUUACAUGGGAGGGCACAUUCUAGUUGCAUUAUGGUUGUGUCCCCCUCCCUCCUUCAAGUGUUGUCUAGGUAACAGAAAUAAUUCCUCAUUUAUUUAAUAACUUAUUUUAAGCAUGAACAUCCACUGGUGAUUUUCUAAAUGCUAUUAUUGAUACCAACAAUCGUAACGCCACUUUCUGAUUCUUAUAACCGGCUCAUGUCCCACGGUUUUAACUUUUGUAUUACUUUGUUACAAAGAGACAUGAAGACCUUUUAAAACUAAAAUUUUUUACUGCCUGUUGGGGUGCUUAUUGCUCAGUUUUUCCUCCUGGAGAUGGUCGAGGACCGUGUCCCUCCCCCCACCUUUUUCUCCUUCCAACACAAGAAACAGUACCUUUUGCCACACAGAAAAGCUGCAGAUCUAUUUCCUGACCACCAAGGGGCAGAAAUAGAUUUCUGCCCCCUUCACUUUCCACUAAGAAAGCAGAGUUAAAGAUAAACUCAACCAGCUAACUCCCUGUUACAGGUACUGAUGUGCAGAAAGGAUCAAAGACCAGCAACUCUUCUCCUUGAGGCUUUUAUAUCCCAAGUUCAAAAUACGUGAUUUUAAAGCACCUACAUUUCAGCUAGUAACUUUUAAGGCAAAAAGCUAUGAAAUUACUUUUUUUUUAAAAGGUAUUUGGAAAACAUCCUGUUUUCAAAUAGUGAAGAAACCUUUAAAUGUAAAUUAGUUGAAAAAUAAGUUACUGCCACUCAUCUUUCAGAAAAACGUGCAGAUGCAUUUUUUUGCACAGUGGCGAAAGCAUUUAUUUAUUUA